GGGAAGAGAAGCUGAUAUUCACUGAUGUUCCGCCUCUUGUCACAAGGAAGCACACCCUGCAGACCACAAUGACUUGUAAGAGAACUGUGUCAAGCUUCAAUUAUGUACUUCAAUGCCAAGACAAUAUACCACAUUCCCCUGAGAGGUAGAAAGAGAAAUAGAUCCUGAGAGAUAGAGAGAGAAAUAGAGAGAGAAACAUCAUGAACAAAGUUUAGGACCUCAAAAUUUUCUCUUUAUGCAAAAGGGUAAAUUAAUUAGCAUUGAGGUCAACAUCCUAUAUUCCUAUAUGAGUGCAUCUAUUAUUUCCUCUAGAUGCUCUCGAGAAACUUAAAUGCAAAGGUAAAUUCCUGAUUUCAUUGGCAUGAUCCAAAGGUUUAUCCUGGAACAGAACUAUAUUAUGAAGCAAUUAACAAUGUUUCUUUCGGUUAGAAGCAUUGACUGGAUCAAGGAAAGAUGAUAUUAUA
rnacentral:lncRNA from 1 species